GCCAGGUGUGGUGGCUCAUGCCUGUAAUCCCAGUACUUUGGGAGGCCGAGGCAGGAGGAUCACUUGAGCCCAGGAACUCAGGACCAGCCUGGGCCACAUAGUGAGACCCUGUCUCUA
ensembl:misc_RNA Metazoa_SRP Metazoan signal recognition particle RNA